UUAUUUUUCUGCUUCCACAUGUGAAUUUUUUAAUUUGCUUUCAACUUCGAGAAAUAUGACUUCGGUCCACUGAAAAAUAAUAACUGCCCCCGAAACUUUCUCUACAAUCCCGCGAAUUCAAGAAAUUAUCUUCUUUAGCCUUAUCUCUUAUCUUUAACUCGACCAAGUUCAUUGAAUUCAAGAAAUUUCCAAUAGAAACCUAACAAACUUCACACUAUUUUAUCUCAAAUGUCCGUUUUGAAUUGGAUUACAAGUUAUGAUAGUAGAAAAACGAGAAGAAAUAGAGAUUGGUUAACGAAAUUUUAGGGGUGCAAUCUCGCAAAGGGAACUAUAAAAAAUCUUUGAAACUGAUAUUGAAACACAGAAGACUAAAGGUUUUAUCAAGUGUCUACAAUGAUAUAAAGGUAAUUGCUUGCUUCAAUUCUAAAAUUCUGCAAUUGCUUGCUUCAAUUCUAAACUGGUAAUUGCUUCAUUCAAUUAUAUGAUGAUUAGAUUUAAUUUUUAAUCUAUAUAACAAUCUUUAUUGUAUGGAUAUGAUUCACAUCAGCAACAAAGGUUGAUAUUUGGGGAAAGAUAAAUCCAUAUAUACUAUUGUGCUUCUUUUUCCUUGCACAAUAGAUGUUUGUUAAAAUGCUAGGGGGUUGGAACUUGCUGCUGCAAGACAAAGACUAAACCGUGACUAAGGAAGGGUGUGUGACAGUCCAUGGUGAGGCUGAAAAUGCAGCUUCAAUUAUUGUCUUGUUGGGGCCGUCUUUAUUUAUUUUUAUUUUUUAUGCUUGCUUGUAAAAAAAAAAAAAAAAAAAAAAGGUUUCAUAAACAGUUUUGAAGAUGAAUCAAAUAUUCUUACCUUGAUUAUAGGAAAAAAAAAAAGAUAUUUGUUAAAAUAAUUUUUUAAGUCAAAGAUCUCUUCAGAUAACAUGCCAUUAAUUUUGAGAAACAACUAAUUAGUUUAGGAGUGAUAUGCUACGUACACAUAGCCAUAACAUUUUAAUUCAAGUAGCUUUAUGUUGUCUCAUAUGUUAUAAUUUGAUUAUCUCUUUAUUAAUUAAAAUAACAACUAGUAUGUAGGCAUCUUGAUAGUGUCUCGUAUGCCGAUUUCAAUUGCAUUUCUCAUUGCAUACUUAGAAUUUUGUAAACUGACUAUCCUUCUUCUAUAUGCCUUGUAGCUACAAAUUGAUAAGUCUUCAAAAGUGUAUAUUUAUCCCCCCGAUUAACACCUUGUUUGCAUAUCACUUAAUUUACAUUAUUGUGUAUCUAUUGAUUAGUGUUUUUUUGUCAUUUCUGUAGGUUUUAUGAGCCAAAAGUUGAAUAUUGUGUUAAAGCCCGACAAAAGCCAAGAAAAACCAUUAAAAGAGUGUUAUUUGCACAAAUGAGAAAAAUCACUAUUUGCACCCACACAGUUCCUGAGGGCACCCAUUGGACUGGUCCUGUGGACUUGACUUUAUGUCCAAGAUAGGUGGUCCAAAUCCCAGCUCAAUCCAAGUUGUAAUGAAGCCCACAUGUUAAAAGAUCUAUUGAAACCCUCUACUUGAAGUCUAAUCUUAAAAAAAGCUCUAUAUGAUGAUCAAGAACUCCGAUUUGGGCUCGUAAGUUGUCUAUCUUAAGGUAUUGAUCCAAGAUACAAUUUAAACCUAAUAUAAUUAGGGUUUUACGUGUUUUAAAUUCUUCUAGAAGUCCUACAACAACCACCACAAAGUUUGACCUAAUUUGGAGAGCAAGUAUACUUUGUGUGCAAGCAAAGUAAUUUCUUGAUUCAUUAAAACUCAUGCUUUGUAUUCUCUAUAUAAAGAGAAGUAGUAGCUAGGGUUUAGUUAAUUCAUUCUCUUGUAUUGAGCUCAAUUUUUUUUAUUCUCAAUUCAUAAUAAUAAGCAAUUCUCUUUUCUAUUA
rnacentral:lncRNA from 1 species